CUCAAGAGAAUUCGCCUCUCCCGAACUCUCGGUCCCGAUGAAUCGCCUUCGAGUUCUCUCGACUCUUCGGAGAAGAACUCAUCCUUCUUCCUCUUCCUUCUCCGUUUCACGACGGCCCAUCACCAUUGCCUUUGACAGCUCCUCCGAUUCUGGGUUUUCUUGGAGUUCUUCCAGCCGCGUCCGAAUUGGGGCCUCGAUGCGACUGUGGGUUUUGAUCAAUCUCUGUUUUUUCUUCUCUUUCGUGUCAAUCUGAUCUGUCAAUGGAGUUUUCCGCCAAAGCCUGUUACUUUCUUGGGGUUCUUUCAAAACGGCUGCGUGAGGAUUCGAACGUUUCUUCUAUUUCUCUCGCCUGAAAUUCUGCGAGGGCUUGGAAACGGGUCAAUGAUUUAAAUGCGGGUAAACCAAAAUUUUCAUAUCGCGACGGCUCUGGAGGGUAUUCAUGCAGUCUACAUCAUCUUCAGCUCUCGAUAAUCUUUUCUGGACAAGCUGCAGCUCUUGGGUUAUCCACAAACCCCGUUUUGGCAGAAGGCCUGCCUAUUGAAUCAAAUUCCGGAGGUAAGAGACGAAUGAAGCUAGCAUAACUGGAUUGAAAAAAGUUGAGGAUGGAACUGUGGUGUCUAAUAUACACACAUCUAAAUGGAGGGUGUUUACUGAUAAUGGAAGAGAUUAUUUCUUACAGGGAAAAGGCUUGAGAAGUUUUUAUGCUCAGCAUUUCGGGAAGCUAAGGAAGGUUUUGGAGAGAGGGAUCCACAUGUUGCUUCUGCAUGCAACACUCUGGUUGGGUUUUUAUACCUUUUUGCAGCUCUUAGUGUGCUUCAUUUGUUUCAAUUUUACCUCUUUUAACAACUACUUUGCAACUAUAUGCAUCUGAAGAUGCAAAGUUUUGAGAUACCAACGGUAUCAACCUCUUUGAAGCGACCCAAAUGCGAAUAACUCUAACAAGAACCAACCUCUUUGAAGUGACCCAAAUCCGAAUAAUUCUAACAAGAACCAACUAGGUAUAAGUCACUCACAAAAGCUAGCUUGUAUGGGGCGCCUAAGGGCCUUAUAAACUGUAGG